AAGGGUGGAGCCAGGAUUCACCCCUUCCCAGACCUCAUUUAAGGGUUGGCAGUAGAAGCAAGGCUACCUCCCUGGAGAUCCUUGUGUACCUGAGGCCUUCUGAAGGCUUUCCCUGUUGCAGUGAUGUCGCACCAUCACCAAGCUCAACAUCCUGCAGCACCUAAAUCUAGUGCAGUAAGGCAUUGAGACCAGCACUAUUUGACUGCCCAGGAGGAAGACAGUUGGGCACACCCUUCAUCACCUCCAGAGCAACAUGAGGUGCGCACUUUUGUCACACAGGGUGAGCCAGCCUCUUACCUCACCUGUGAUGGCUCCAGUCUCACAGCCUCUCCACCACUUCUGCAUCCAUAGCCGCCCUCCUUCCUCCCCAUUUCUGAUGU